AUUAACUUUUUUCAGGCUGCAAGGAACUGUUUGGUAGCUGCCAAUGGAGCCAUCAAAGUGACUGACUUUGGUCUGUCAAGGUAUGUGGUGGAUGAUGAGUGUACUAGUUCUGCGGGAACAAAGUUCCCAGUGCGUUGGUCUCCUCCUGAAGUUCUGCUGUACUGCAAGUUCAGUAGCAAGUCUGAUAUCUGGGCAUAUGGUGUCCUAAUGUGGGAGAUAUACACUUUGGGGAAAAUGCAUUAGGAAAGGUUGAAUAACUCAGAGAUAGUGGAGAAAGUGUCAACUGGUCUGUGCCUGUAUCGCCCCCAACUGGCCAAUGAGAGAGUCUACACAAUCAUGAGCACUUGCUGGCGAGAAAAAGCAGAAGAACAACCACCCUUCCAAGAGAGUCUACUGUGAAGAACUAAGCAAGAUGUACAGACAAACAUUCACCCUCAAUGUUCCUCUGGGAACCCAAAUACUGUGAAUAACUGAAUGUGUGUUUACCAGGCCUGUGGUUUUAUCACCAAUCUAUAUUUUUGACAAUAUGAUCAUUAAUUGCAAUAUUUUAUUAUUGUUGAUGUAAAUGUAUGAUAUUAUUAU